AAAUCUAGGGCAGAAAUUAAUUCUUUUUAACUUUAAGGAUCCUCAACUGAAGGAUGCAAAAGGGAAGACCUUUAAGACCAAAGUCAAAGGAGUUUUUUUUUUUAACCACGGAACUUGUGUCCCAUGCUUAUGGGAGAUGUUCAAAGGAAAAGUAAGGGAAGCUUGUCAACAACAUGCCUAUUUUAAGCAUAUACUCAUCAUCUCAGUAAUUUGUUUUUUCAUAUCUUCUUACAGUUAUGGCAUUUUCAACAUAAAGGAACGUAGAAUAAGAUACUCUAAAGAUUAAAGGAUACAAAAAGAUGCAUUUGUUUCCAGCCAUGAUUCUAAACAAUAAGGAAAUUGAUCCUUAUUCUAAUGAAAUCUCAAAGUAUGUUCUUUGAACAAAAGCAUCAGUAAAAAAGAACAGUAACGUGCUAUUAGAAAAUUACCACAAUUUCUUUUUAGGCCAUA
rnacentral:misc_RNA from 1 species